GGCGGGGGCUGCGGGUACCUGCGCGCGCCGCCGUCCGCUCACCGGAACUCGGGCCACGCCGGCCCGGCUCCGGGGCCCCCAGCCUUCCGGCGCCUACGCCCCCGUCAGGUCCCCUCCGCGGGCUCCGGGCCGCUUUGCUGUGGUCAGGAUAGGCGACCGGUCCGUGUCACUUCUCCCGACCCAACAUGGCGGCGGGGUCCGGGGCGGAUUCCCGGGGGCGGUGCAGGCCGAGGGGGCGUGAGGAGGAGGUGCUUCCCUGCCCGGAGAGCAGGCCCGCGGCGUCCCUUCCCACCCGCGAACCCACCGACGCUCGGCUGCCGCGGAGAUUGAAUGGAGCGCUCCGAUUCUGCCCCUCUGCCUUUCUCUGUUCCUUGGCCCAGCUCUCAGUAGUGGCCAGGGCUUUGGGGCUUGCUUUUGUGGGGGAGGACGGGGUUGAGUUUUUUUGGUUGGCUGUUUGCUUCUCAGCGCUACGCUUCCGCACCCUUUGUCGUUGGUAGUAAAAUCUCAAGCCCAACCGCGUGAGCCGGGGGCGUUACUCACACCCUCAUCACCAUCCUGAUCGCCGUCCAAAAAACGUUCACGUCUUGCCUCCUUCCGAGGCAGGGAUCCUGUCCCUGCCCCCAGGAGCUUCCUGUUGACUGUAGGUCGAACCAGCCUUGCCGGGAGGGGAACCGAAGCUGAGUUCUGUUUGGCGACUAUCCCAGUCAUGGUGGCUUUGGCUUAUGUUGGGACAGCGUUUUUCUAUAUGAUGCUGGCGGCAGCCCAGUGAGGGAAGUGCAACAAGUAUGGUUCUCCUGCUUGUCAACUGUGGAAACAGCGACCCUGAAAGUGGAGGAGCCACAGCUGGAAUCGUGUCCGUCUGAAUACACGCACCUUUCCUAUGAGCCUUGUAAAGCCAGUCGUUGAAGAAGGGGGAGGACCCGGAAGGAUGGGGUGGGGGCGUAAAGAUGAAGGUUAAUCAAGGUCCUCAUGGACUGAACCUUGAGGCCCUUCUGCUGCAGUCACUUUUGCCCUAUCAGACUUUUAGAGUAACUUCCUCUCUUUAUUUCCUCUUUGGUGGGGUUAUCAGAAUUAUUUUGUGACUAUUGGUUUCCUUUGCGGUUUUUAGUGAAAUUCAGAAUCAUCUUCGACGGAUAGGAAAUAGUGCAAUCAUAUGUGUCAGUAUUCCGGUAUUCUAGGAACUUAAGGAAAUGCAUAUAAGGGUUUGAACAUUUUUUUCUUCAGCUCACUAAAUGAACGAAAGGUAGGCGUAGGCGUUAAAGAGACACAUAAUGUGGAACGAUGCUGUAUUUUCUUAGCUACUAAAACUUCAUUUGUCAUUGACUGUCUCAGGGCUUUAAAAUUUUAUGUAGGUCUAUAUUCAGCUUUUAUUAAAAUAGAAAAUUCCUUGAGCUGUUGCCUUUCUUCACUAAAUAGAGAUAAUUUCGUCUUCCUAAACACUCAGUCUCAAAAAUCACCUCUAAAAUAGGCCGGGCACAGUGGCUCACACGUGUAACCCCAGCAUUCUGGGAGUCCAAGACAGGAGGAUCACUUGAGUCUAGGAGUUGGAGACCAGCCUGGGCAACAUGGGAGACCUCCUAUCUAUUUAGUAAAAUAUAUUUUAAAAAAUAAUAAUGAAAUGAAAUAGUAGUUUGCCCCAGUUUAAGGGGUAAGGUGGCUUUGAAGAUGUUCUAUAUGGAGUUUUAAAGUUGGGAGAGUAUGUCAGAAUGUCAC
rnacentral:lncRNA from 1 species